CGGCGCUUCCCUCACGGCGCUACGCUGUGUACGUCACGUCCUGACGCUGGCCUGGGCGGCGCCAUCUUGGGUAAGGGCACGGGCAAGUGAAUGGGGAACCGCCGCCAUCUUGAGUGAGGGCAGGAGGAAGGCAGAACCGCCGCCAUCUUGGGUGAGGGCAGAGGGAAAGGCGGAACCGCCGGCAUCUUGGGUGAGGGAAGGAGGAAGGUGGAACCGCCGCCAUCUUGGUGAGGGAAGGAGGAAGGCGGAACCGCCGCCAUCUUGGGUGAGGGCACAGGCCUUGUCCCCCAAAGUGUCGCCUGUCCCCAAAAGAUUUCCCCUCUCCCCCAAAAUCUCCGUAGUCCCCGAGUGUGUUCCCAAUUGCCUCUUUUCCCCAAGGUGUCCAUAAGAUGGCCCCCGUUCCCCCAAGGCGCUGACACGCGGAUGUUAAACUCCAGAAGCGGCGGAGCAGUUAUGAGAGCAGGUAUGAAUUUAUUCAGCGCUGAGGGAUCAUUCCUCCUGAGGCACGCACACCUCGGAGACUCCUUUCUCCCUUUUUUUAUUCUCUACAGACUAGGGUUACACCAUAUGCCUAAUACAUAUUCAUUUGCUAACCCUGCUUGUUCCUGUUUCCUAUUAAAAUUAGUAGGAAUCCAAAGAAUCCACAAAGAAUUGAAGGAACCCCCUCAUCCUGCGCCCAAUUUACAUAUUUCAUUUCACUCCUUAUCUUCAGUCUUUAUUCUCCUCCUGCCCUUACGGGAGCACUCAGCUCUUCACACGAGUUUUGUAGCCCCUUUUCUACUCAAAGCAUUUCUUUAUAGGCCAUUCCUAGUUGUUAAUUUCUGUGUUUGAGGCUGGGGUGAUGCCUGGCGCCCGGGGCUGGGUUUUGGGGCCAUGGCAGCGCCUCAAGUCCCGGCCUCACGGCGCUGGGGAAACGCCUCCUGUGCCAGGUUUGGGGUUUGUCCCGGGACAACACCUCGUGUGCCAGGUUUGGGGUUUGUCCCGGGACAACAGGUUUGGGGUUUCUCCUGGAACAACACCUUGUGUGCCAGGUUUGGGGCUUGUCCCGGAGCAACACCUCGUGUACCAGGUUUGGAGUUUCUCUUGGGCAGCACCGUAUGUGCCAGGUUUGGAGUUUCUCACAGAAUAACACCUCGUGUGCCACGUUUGGGGUUUGUCCCGGAGCAACACCUCCUGUGCCAGGUUUGGGGUUUGUCCCAGGACAACAGAUUUGGGGUUUGUCCUGGAGCAACAGGUUUGGGGUUUCUCCCAGGACAACGCCUCCUGUGCCAGGUUUGGGGUUUGUCCUGGGACAACACCUCGUGUGCCAGUUUUGGGGUUUCAUCCAGGACACCACCUCCUGUGCCAGUUUUGGGGUUUCAUCCAGGACACCACCUCCUGUGCCAGUUUUGGGGUUUCAUCCAGGACAACACCUCCUGUGCCAGUUUUGGGGUUCCUCCCGG
rnacentral:lncRNA from 1 species